rnacentral:rRNA from 1 species
GUCCACGCUGUAAACGAUGGGUACUAGGUGUUCGGGUAUUGACCCCUGAGUGCCGUAGCUAACGCAUUAAGUACCCCGCCUGGGGAUUACGGCCGCAAGGUUAAACUCAAAGGAAUUGACGGGGCCCGCACAAGCGGUGGAGCAUGUGGUUCAAUUCGACGCAACGCGAAGAACCUUACCUGGGCUAGACAACAUCGGACAACCCCGGAAACGGGGUCUUCCCGCAAGGGACUGGUGGUUCAGGUGCUGCAUGGCUGUCGU